rnacentral:misc_RNA from 1 species
AACGCACAUUGCGCCCCUUGGUAUUCCGAGGGGCAUGCCUGUUCGAGCGUCAUUAGUACCAAUCAAGCCUGGCUUGGUGUUGGGGUUCGCGGUCCUGCGGCCCCUAAAAUCACUGGCGGUGCCGUCUGGCUCCACGCGUAGUAAUAAUCACCCGCGACGGAGACCUGGCGGUUGCUAGCCACCAACCUCAAUUUCUCAGGUUUGACCUCGGAUCAGGUAGGGAUACCCGCUGAACUUAA